rnacentral:rRNA from 1 species
GGAUGAACGCUGGUGGUCUGCUUACACAUGCAAGUCGAACGCAACCUUCGGGUUGAGUGGCGGACGGGUGAGUAACGCGUGAGAAUCUGCCUUGGGGUCGGGGACAACCACUGGAAACGGUGGCUAAUACCGGAUAAGCCUUUGGGUAAAAAAUUUAUUGCCCCAAGAGGAGCUCGCGUCUGAUUAGCUAGUUGGUGAGGUAAAAGCUCACCAAGGCAGCGAUCAGUAGCUGGUCUGAGAGGACGAUCAGCCACACUGGGACUGAGACACGGNCCAGACUCCUACGGGAGGCAGCAGUGGGGAAUUUUCCGCAAUGGGCGAAAGCCUGACGGAGCAAGACCGCGUGAGGGAGGAAAGGCUCUUGGGUUGUAAACCUCUUUUCUCAGGGAAGAAGCUCUGACGGUACCUGAGGAAUCAGCCUCGGCUAACUCCGUGACAGCAGACGCGGUAAUACGGAGGAGGCAAAGCGUUAUCCGGAAUUAUUGGGCGUAAAGCGAUCGCAGGUGGCGAUUCAAGUCUACUGUCANAGCACGGGGCUUAACUCCGUUAAGGCAGUGGAAA